GAUGAAGAACGUAGUGAAAUGCGAUACGUAAUGUGAAUUGCAGAAUUCCGUGAAUCAUCGAGUCUUUGAACGCACAUUGCGCCCCCUGGUAUUCCGGGGGGCAUGCCUGUCCGAGCGUCAUUGCUGCCCAUCAAGCACGGCUUGUGUGUUGGGUCCUCGUCCCCCCCGGGGGACGUGCCCGAAAGGCAGCGGCGGCACCGCGUCCGGUCCUCGAGCGUAUGGGGCUUUGUCACCCGCUCUGCAGGCCCGGCCGGCGCUGGCCGACGCGAAAGCAACCAUUUUUUCUCCAGGUUGACCUCGGAUCAGGUAGGGAUACCCGCUGAACUUAAGCAUAUCAAUAAGCGGAGGA
rnacentral:misc_RNA from 1 species